GCUAACUGCCCUGGAUGUGGAGACCCGCGGACUGGACGUGAGAGGCGGGCAGGGGCAGUUGGGGCAGCUGCCCCUACAACACUGAAGAAUUGGAAUAGGAAAGAGUGUGGGGGUAGGGGACGGGGACUCUUUGUCUGCAGUUGGAAUGCGCGGAGGGGCAUGGUGGAAUGUGUCGCGUCCCGGGACCGGACGACAGGAGGCAUGUUCUGCGCUAGCACCGUGACUUUGUUCCCAGCGUGGGGACUGUGGGAGAGAUGGAGAGAGACUGGUACAGAAAUGGUGAGACAAGGAGAGAGCCAUAAAGAGGAAGACAGAGAGAAAGAAGACAAAUGCAUAAAGAGGUUCAGAGACGUGUGACUGUGGAGAUCGAAGGCCUGGUUUUAGGGCUAGCGAACACCUUCUCCCUUUGGUUUUGGUCCACAGAAGACUGGUGAUACAGAGCGCAGCAGCAGCAUCUGGCCUCGCUGCCACUGGGAGGGGAGAAGAGAAUGGUGGCACUGAAGGACAUGGCGGAUGGGGCAGUAACAACCACGCUUACACUGCUGGGCCGCUCCAACAGGUAGGAAGCAUCAACUUCUCUGGACUCACUUUCCUUUCUCAAUGAGGAUGGUCAGAGGAGCCCAGGCCCCAAGCUGUAGGGUCUGUGAAAGAAGAGUAAACAAGCCAUGAAGAAGCACACAGUCCAUGGCGGCCUCUCCUCGGCCUGCAGAAGGGAGACAGGUGCCUUCUAUUUGCAGAUCCUGUGCUCUCCUAGCACAUCACAAAUCAAGGCCUUCCUGAUGAACGGUUUCAGA
rnacentral:lncRNA from 1 species